CAGCAGGGCAAGGAGUAUGAGCUGGUGCUGACGGACCGCGCCAGCCUCACCAGGUGCCGCCUGGGUGAUGUGGUGCGAGUGGUUGGUGCCUACAAUCAGUGUCCAGUCGUCAGGUUCAUCUGCAGGUAGGUGACCCCGGGGAGCUGAAGGGCCAUCCUUGUGUCCUGGGCUCCACUGCCUCUCCCUUCCUCCUCUUCAGGCUGGACCAGACCCUGAGUGUGCGAGGGGAAGAUAUUGGUGAAGACCUGUUCUCUGAGGCCCUGGGCCGGGCAGUGGGGCAGUGGGCGGGGGCCAAGCUGCUGGACCAUGGCUGUGUGGAGAGCAGCAUUCUGGGUGAGCUUCCCCACCGGCUCCUGCCUACCAUCCUUGAGCUACCCUUCAACCCCUACCUCCCCUGCCAGGGGACUGCUAGGAAAGAGAUAAGACUCAGCCUCCUUUACCACUCCUACAAAAGUCCUUCUCUGCAUCUAACUCUCAUCCAUCCUGCUGCAGUCUCUACCCAUUUUCUUCCUGAUCUGUCUCCUAUUUAGGAUCAAGCUCUAGGUUCCUCUCCAUUUACCCCACUCCCCACCAAGAAACUCUUUUUUCCCUAUGAAUCUCAGAGUGGGGAAGAACAGAUAGGGCAGAGGACACUAGACUUGGCAGCUGCCCAUUCACCAGAAGUAUGUGUGCACAUGGGGUCUAUUCACAGAUUCCUCUGCGGGCUCUGCUCCCCACUACGAGGUGUUUGUGGCGCUGAGGGGGCUGAGGAAUCUGUCAGAGGAAAAUCGAGACAAGGUAAAGGAGACGAGGACAGGGUCUGACUGUAGACCCCUUCACUCUGCACACUCCCAGGGUGCCAUGGAGAUCAGGGCUGACGGGAAGGAGAGGGGUGGCGGAGGAGAAGCUCCCUGGGGCUCUGGGAGGGGAGGGCUAAGUCCCACAGACACACACCUGUCCACACAAAACUUCUAAACACAUGUAGCCUGGGCACAGCCACACAUGCCUCGUGUGCACACUCACAGUCACACACCAGCUCA
rnacentral:sRNA from 1 species